CGCCCGGCCGGAUCCCGUGGGGGGAAUCCGCACCGGGAAAAAGGGAAGCGCCCCGACCGUCGAC
rnacentral:ncRNA from 1 species